CUGCAACCUGCAGAUUGAAACAGAGGGGAAAGAAAAAGACUGGAAAUUAUAGGAGGAAGACAGUAAUAGUCCAGCCACAGAUGGCAAUUAAAACCCAACUGUGGAGGCUGGCAAUAUGUAAAAGUGGGUGGUUAGCCAUGAUGAAAGAUGAGUAAGCCCCAAAAGACAUGACUGCAAGAAUUGUAAAACUGCAUGAGAGAAAAUACUGCGCCUCCCACCUUCUCAAUAAACAUCGCUGAGUGUACACAGUUCGAUUAAGUCCAUGUUUUAAAUAGAGUGCACUUCUUGACCACUUAAGGUGAACUAUUUUCACAAUUUAACAGUGAAAUGUAAAGAAGAUGAUCGGAGGAAUCUACAGUUUUAGUGGAAACCAAGAACCAAAUGAACAUAACCUUUAAUGAGUAUGUUCCUAGUCUGCACUGACCAAUUCGAGGCGUUAACUGGCAUUCUCAUGCAAUUGCAUUUUCUAGGUCGCCAAGCAAGGAAUAAGCACGGAAAUAUUCCAAAAGGGCAAGCCAGAAUUUAAACUUAUUUUUGACGGUAAUUUUAGAAUUUAGAUUGACGUACCUUCAGGAAGUAAUACAAAUCAAUCCAUUUUGACUAAAUUUUAAAAAUAGUCCCUCGAUGACCAUUUAGACAACUAAAAAGUUAGAAUGCAACAGCAAUAUUCAGAAACUCCCUGCUUCACUCAGCUCCUGUUGAAGUUUCAAAAUCCAUUCAGGUGACAUCUGAGACCACCUAAGCCUGAGCCACUCAACAGCCUUGAAGGGAACCAGUGGGAGAUACUUACCAUGGAAGUAAGACUAAAUACACAGAUGGAAAAGAUAUAGAAUAUUGAGACAGCUCCCCUUCAUAUUCCUAGGGUUCAAAUUCUCAUUUUCACUACUAGCAAAAUGUCUCAAGCUAGACCUGAGCCAGAUGAAUAGGAUAUUUUUCCUUAACUUCUUCCUAAACUCGCUAAAAAUAUAGACAUCUACACAAUGAAGAUGAUUUGUCUUAGACAAACAAGUGUAGGUCUCAUCUCCAGGCUCAACCCACCUCUCCACUGCCAAGCAUUUUCUGUUACAAUUUUUAAAAUAGUUGCUUCCAGAAUAGAUUUUAAGAUUAUUUUCUAUUAAAACCCUCCCCUUUCUGAGCAUAAAAUUCAAGACAGGGUAGGAUCAUUUGUUAUUUUUAACCACUUUGCGGUUUUUCCUUUCUUUCCCACAAAGCACAACUCUCCCACUUCCUUUCCAUCCCUUUCUUUGAAAACUCCUUACUACGUGAACAUAUUGCCCCAGUCUUUCUCUACUAUUCUUCGACUUUUUGGGGGGUACUCUGAAGGAAAGUCACCCUCAGAAGACAAAGGCCUUUCCAUAUAAUUUCAGGGCAUUCAUGGCCCCAGGCAUGGGGGCCAGCCUCCAAAUCCCCACUCCCCAGGGAUGGGCAGUCUCCUCCCACACUAACUAGAGCCAACAUGUCAACAGCAAUAGAAAAAUGGUAAACAGUGUGACUUCUGAGGCUAUGCUAUAAAAGACACUGCCGCUUCCGUCUUGCUCUUUCCUAGAUCAUUCACUCUGAGGGAAGAGAGCUGCCGUGUCUUUAAGACACGCAAACAGCCCUGUGGAGAGGCCCAGGAGGUGAGGAGCUGAGGCCUCACUCUGAGAGCUGCCAUCAACUUCUCAGCAACAUCAAGAGAUCCCCAAACAGCACCGCCCAGUCAAGCUGUUCCUGAAUUCCUGACCCACAGAAACUAGGUUUCUUCCUUCCUUACCAAUAAGACGUCCUACAAAGUUAUUAUGGGCUAAAAUCUUCAAGGGAAUCUCUUCUGUGCUGUAAAGAAAGAAAAAAACAAAGCAAAAAAAAGGGCCAUCAAAUCAGGGCCUGCGAGCAUGUUAAUGGAUGAAAUCAAGUGCUGGCAAGAGGAUGCGCAUCUGGGCAUGGCCACCCUUCUGGUUCGGUGCAGAGUACAGAGCAAACCGCCAGGACCUAUCAGAGCUGAGCUGCUUACGAUUUUUUUAUUUUUUGGCGGUAUGCGGGCCUCUCACUGCUGUGGCCUCUCCCGUUGCGGAGCACAGGCUCCGGACGCGCAGGCUCAGCGGCUAUGGCUCACGGGCCCAGCCGCUCCGCGGCACGCAGGAUCCCCCCAGACCCGGGCACGAACCCGUGUCCCCUGCAUCGGCAGGCGGACUCUCAACCACUGCGCCACCAGGGAAGCCCUGCUUAUGAUCUUUUGACCUAAGAAUCCUACUUCUCGUAACGCCUCCUACAGAUGUAGUCUCAUACAUGGGCCAAGACGGGUGUUUUUCACCCUUCGCAGUAUUGACCUUUCGGAUCAGGCUAGUGCUUUGCUGUGGAGGCCGUCUCGUGCCUUGUAUGGGAUGCUGCUGGACAUCCCUGGCCUCUGCCCACUAGAUGCCAGUGGCACCCCCCUCUCAUCCACAUGUGACAACCAAAAAUGUCUCCAGACAUUGCCGAACGUCUGCAGGGUGGGACCACUACUGCUUGAAAAUCACUAGUUCAGGAACGUUCACUGUAGCACUAUUUGUAAUAGAAAGAAAGUUGGAAUUAUCUUUGAAAUACCUCUCAGGAAGAAACAGUUAAAUAACAUUACAUCCAUACUAUACAGCUGUUCGAAACCAUGUGGUUAAAUUACAGGUGCCAACAUAGUUAGAGGUCCUUGAUCUUAUGUGAAAAAAAAUGCAAUACAUACCAUGGUAUGAUUUCUCAUUUAAAGCUACACAUGUUAGUAGGUACAAGGAACGAGUCCUGUAAAGACAUAUCCCCAACUUAACAAUGGUCACCUUGGGGGUUAGAUGAAGAUUAGCUCUUUGUUUUUGUUUUUUUAACGUACAUACUUGUACGUUUUGAAUUAAAUACAAAAAUAAGUCCUCUGUUUAAAAAGUACAAGAAAGAAAAUCAACUAUCAAAAAAAAAUGUGUUCAGGGAAAAUUAAGUACUGGUGAGUUCCCCUGGCCACUCAAACACUAGAUGAAGAGCUGCGUAACUCGUGGUCAUGAGAAGGACCACUUCAUCCUGCCAAUAAAAGCAAGGCCUGGAUUUCAUUUCCCUAAAUGUCUGAUUGAAAACUGAAGAUUUAUCUCAGAAUUAAAACCUGUAACUAAAAAUUAGGGCAAUGUAGAAGUGAAACAAAUAAGGGAUAUCUAGAAAUAACCAAUAAGAAAAGUAUCUUAGAUAACAGUUCUGAUCUCAGGAACCAUCUUUCCAGUCACUGGUUUCAAUCCCCAAUCACUGUAAGUAUUGUCUCUCUUCUAGUAGGUAACAUGUUAGUCUCCCUCCUCCCGGUUUAUUUCCAUCUGCUCACUGUGUUAAGGAUUACUAAACUCUGAUUGUCUGAGAGAACAGUGAUGUUGCUUUACAGAUUAGGGUAGCCCUGCGAGGCCAUUCCAGAAAUAGAAGAUCUGAUAAUGACUAGUUUCAAUGGCAAGAGUUAAUUAAAUCCGCUGGCAGAGCUGCAAGUGAAUCAUCGGAUACAACAAAAAUUGCUUCCCUUCCCGCUCCAUCCUCCAUCUUCCUGCUUAAAUAAAACAAACAGUGCAAUUUAAAUCACAGAAGCUCUUUCCUCCUACAAGGAAAUGAGUAGCUUUAAAAGGAACAACUUUAAUCUGCCAUGUGACAAGGAAGGCAAACCAUUGAAUAAUUAGUUUCUGCAGGUAACGGGGAAUCAAGGGAAGCAAGAAGCCCUUAAAUUUUAAUAUUAAAACCAGGCAAAUUUAAGAUGAAAAGUGACGAGGCUAUGGUUCAGUUGUCUUCCCCACACUCUACAUUAUGAAGUCAAAGCCACCGAGUUUGCACAAACGUAACCAGCACCCAGCAACUCCUGCUUCAAAGCAGGGGAAGGCAGGACCAGAUGUCACUCCACAGGGGAGCGGGUACGCAACCACCACUAGACACAGUUCGUUUGUUUCUGCGUGAGAAAUGCGUCAGUCAGCUCAAGGCAGGCAUGGUGCCUGUGAUGAACACGGAUAGCCUCUUAAGCCUGUUGGAACAAACACACAGGCAAGAUAUACACAGCACAAGGUUUAGUCGCAGUUCCUGAAGAAGACUCUGCUUAACUCCUUGAACCACACAAAAUAAUAAUUUUUCUUACUAAAUUUGAAAAGCAAAAUGAUCCACAGUCAUCUCUGGAGCUGGCCCAGGGGCCAUUUCCCUACCCUUUCCUAUAGAAUGACACAAGAGAGAUUUGUACACACAGCCUCUUCUCCCUAAUACACGCAGAGUUCUUCAGGAAAUAUGGCAGCAGCUGUCCCAGAGGUGUGCCUGGUAGCAAUUUACAGAACUAAGGGUGAGGACAGAGUUCAUUAUCAAGUUUCUUUGGGUCAAAAUCUUCACUACAGCAUAACAGGAUGUUACUAAAGCAAAACAAUGAAUAUAUAAUCACUGGAGCUUCAAAAUUGAGAAGGUACCUUAGAUAUAUUUUAAGGGCAUUAAAUAUAAUUCACAUAUAGUUAUUUCACUCAUUUGACAAAUAUGAGACCCACCUACAUAUAAGGCAGCAUGCCCACCACUGGGGCUACAGUGGUAAAUAAAAACAAAUAGCUCCUGCUUUCUACUCCUAAAAAGUUAGCGCCAAGGUUUGAUGGAGAAUCUUCUAAUUCCUCAAAAUCUGCAAAUUAAAACUAUCAAACAACAUCCUAAAGAAACAACCAUUCUAACUACAUGGCUUAAACACGGAUAACUAUGGACCAUAGCUGAAUGAUUCUUCACUGAAGUAAAGCAAGACUGAAAAACUACCUCUGUAUUGGACCCAGAAAAUGACUUCCAAAAGCACUGAAGGCAGUUAUCACUGGAGGUCAGAGUGGAGAUGGGGGAGCAGAGAACCUAGAAGCUGCCCUUUUGUUUAUCAGGGCCUCCCUCAUCAGGAGUGGAUUAAGUAUCAUUUGUUUUCCAUUCAUGUGUGAAAAUUUGAAGUUCCCUUUGAGAUUAAGGUUUAGCCCCAGGUUUAUAUGAAAUGAACACUAAGAUAUCAAGUCACGGGAAUUCCCUGGUGGCACAGUGGAUAAGAAUCCGCCUGCCAAUGCAGGGGACACGAGUUCGAUCCCUGGUCCAGGAAGAUCCCACAUGCCGCAGAGCAACUAAGCCCACGUGCCACAACUACUGAGCCUGCGCUCUAGAGCCCUCGAGCCACAACUACUGAAGCCCACGCUCCACACCAAGAGAAGCCACCGCAAUGAGAAGCCCGCGCACUGCAACGAAGAGUAGCUCCCGCUCGCCGCAACUAGAGAAAGCCCACGUGCAACCCACCGCAGCCAUAAAUAAAUAAAUACAUUUAUUUUAUUUAUUUAUUAAAAAUAAAAAGGGUAUCAAGUCACAAAGGUUUUCCGGGUUCCCAAGUACCAUACGAGAAGGGAUCAUUACCACGUUCAGAAGGACACAAAGUACCAAGACAACCCACUCCGUUAUUAAGAUCCAAAGGGGAAAGCAUGAAGGCCCCCACACACUCAGGAAUACUCAC